GUUGCCUUGUACAGUGGGAUCGGCAAGCUCCAGUUGCUAAGGACACGUCCCGACACAUGUGAUAGAUGGGUUCCACACACCGUCAGUGGUCCUAUGGGCAGCCAAAAGCCAAACGAUAUCGGCGCUUGCCCGGGCAACGCAGUGACGCCGGAUAUGCUUUGUGAGGAGGCGAACCAUGCCUAUGACGUGUGGGGAAUCACUCAGGUGAUUCUGUUAUGCACCCAAGCUCCGGAGCAGCCAACCCACUUGACGAGCACCUGGGG